CAGGAUGAACGCGGGCGGCGUGCUUAACACAUGCAAGUCGAACGGACCGCAAGGUUAGUGGCGGACGGGUGCGUAACACGUGGGUGACCUGCCCUGGAGUGGGGAAUAAUUCCGCGAAAGCGGGACUAAUACCGCAUGAUACUAUGGGGUCAUAGCCAUAGUGAAAGCCCCUUCGGGGGUGCUUGAGGAUGGGCCUGCGGCGGAUUAGCUAGUUGGUGGGGUAAAGGCCUACCAAGGCGAUGAUCCGUAGGGGGCGUGAGAGCGUGACCCCCCACAUUGGCACUGAGACACGGGCCAAACUCCUACGGGAGGCAGCAGUGAGGAAUAUUGCACAAUGGGCGAAAGCCUGAUGCAGCAACGCCGCGUGAGGGACGAAGGCCUUCGGGUCGUAAACCUCUUUUCUGAGGGACGAGACAAGGACGGUACCUCAGGAAUAAGUCUCGGCUAACUACGUGCCAGCAGCCGCGGUAAAACGUAGGAGGCGAGCGUUAUCCGGAUUUACUGGGCGUAAAGCGCACGCAGGUGGCACAGUAAGUUGGAUGUGAAAGCUCCUAGCUUAACUGGGAGAGGCCAUUCGAAACUGCUGAGCUUGAGGUUGGGAGAGGGGUGUGGAAUUCCCGGUGUAGUGGUGGAAUGCGUAGAUAUCGGGAGGAACACCAGUGGCGAAAGCGGCACCCUGGCCCACACCUGACGCUGAGGUGCGAAAGCGUGGGGAGUAAACAGGAUUAAAUACCCUGGUAAUCCACGCCGUAAACGAUGUCAACUGGGUGUCGGUAGUGUUACACUAUCGGUGCCGAAGCAAACGCGUUAAGUUGACCGCCUGGGGAGUACGGCCGCAGGGUUGAAACUU
rnacentral:rRNA from 1 species